AUUGCUUAUCUUUUUAAAAAAAAAAUAAAGUCCAUCUAAAUAAUACGAUAUUUGCCUGAGUGUGCGAAAAAAUGAUAAGGGCAAUGGGAUAUACAAGUAAAGGUCAACCACAAGUUCUCAUAUAAGUUCAAGUAUAAAUGACUAAUAUAUAGAAAUAUGUAUUAUAUAUUACACUGAAAAAGGUAUAAGAAGAAAUGAGUUAAGAUGGAUCCUAUCUCAUAACCCAAAGAUGGAGGAGGAUAUGUAUAGUUUUACCAAAAUGAAACUUCAGCUUCUGAAGAGCUUUUUGGAAAAGCUUUUAUUUUUUUUAUAAUCUUCUUCUUUGCCUUUUUACUUGACAUUUUUACUUUGAUUAUCAUGUAUUCCAAGACUCUUGCAUAUUUCAGUAUACAUCCUAUCAUCUCCAACUCAAAAUCUUGACCCUUAAAUUCAUCAAAUCUCACUAUUUUAAGACUUGAUGAUAUGCAUGUAGGAACAAGUUGUGGAUUUGUCCAACU
rnacentral:lncRNA from 1 species